AACGAACGCUGGCGGCAUGCCUAACACAUGCAAGUCGAACGAGACCUUCGGGUCUAGUGGCGCACGGGUGCGUAACGCGUGGGAACCUGCCCUUAGGUUCGGAAUAACUCCCCGAAAGGGGUGCUAAUACCGGAUAAUGUCUUCGGACCAAGGAUUUAUCGGCUUUGGAUGGGCCUGCGUUGGUUUAGCUAGUUGGUAGGGUAAAAGCCUACCAAGGCGACGAUCCAUAGCUGGUCUGAGAGGAUGAUCAGCCACACUGGGACUGAGACACGGCCCAGACUCCUACGGGAGGCAGCAGUGGGGAAUAUUGGACAAUGGGCGAAAGCCUGAUCCAGCAAUGCCGCGUGAGUGAUGAAGGCCUUAGGGUUGUAAAGCUCUUUUAACCGGGAUGAUAAUGACAGUACCGGGAGAAUAAGCGCCGGCUAACUCCGUG
rnacentral:rRNA from 1 species